UUGCUUUGGUCACAAUAAAUGGACGGUAUGAUCUCAACAUGCCAGAGCUAAGCUGCGAGGGAUGCCAGGCUACUUGGACUGCAGAAGUGGAUGACCUUAUACAAAGUGGCUACUGGCCCGCCACCCUCAAUUUUGCGACAGUUUAUGAGGAAGACUUAUUUUUUACUUUUGAGAGCAUGAAGAUGGCAUCACCUGGAAUGUCCUGUCAGGCAUUUCUACGAAUGCUUGAGAAGCGGACUGUUCGCUUUGGCCGUACUGGAAAGCUCUCAUCUGACAGCUUUCAGAAAAGCUUUUUUGAAUGGGCUGCUGUUC